CGAGUUUCCUGUAAUGGGGGAAAGUUUGACACAAGUGAGAUGCAGCCAAUAGAAUGAGUGAAGAGUGGAUGAUUGUACAUGAUAAUGUUGGGAUGGUUUAUCCUGCAUCCACAAAUUAAAGAUGGUGUGCACAGUUUAUAAAUUAUUAGAGACAUUCUUCUCAUUACCAUACGAUUUUGGAUGGUAUAUACUCCUUGGCUUGUGAAGUGUGUGCACCUCGUGUUUUCCCUGAUAAUUGCUGGUAUUCACAAUAAAUCCAGCCUAAUUUAACAGAUAAAUGGUUACUACAAAAAAAAUGCCCCUACCUACACUUAUUUAGCCACCCUUAAUUAAGUGUGGUGCCUAAUUAGUUACGCUUAAUAAGCGUGGAGAAAUAGCUAUGCUUAAGCGUGUCGAAAGUGUAUUCCGCUUCAAUAAGCGUGCCUAAAUUAAAAUGUGUUUUAUAAUCCUCAUUCCCACUGGCUCACUGUCUCCCCUUUUCCCAAAUUCCAUUCCCACUCUAAGCGACACUACCUUGCUAUCCCUAAUUUCCCCCUCCACUUACGGCUGUUGGACAUCAACAACUGCUACCGACUCACCGUAUCUGCUGCUAGGCCAACCUCGAGUUUCUAUUGUGGCUGGCAGAUUCUUUCAGGUCAAGGUACUACUUCAGCUUAAAGUUUUUAAGUUGUUGAAGCUGUUCCAAAUCCUCUAAGUUGACUUAAACUUGUUGCAUAUCAAAGCUCUUGCAUGUAUUAUUGACUGUAAUGCAAAUAUGCAUAACCUGCCUAUUAGGAUCUACAUUUUCACUAUGAGUGGUCUCAUAUUCCUUUUGGUAGAUCCUUACCUAAUCUAUUGCAAAGGAACCUUGCAUUUGGUGCUGCUAUAAGCAUAAUGUAUCCAUCCACAGGCAAGAUACAACUUUUUUCAUAUUUUAUAUGAAGAUGAAAUAAUCUUGUUGUAUUAUCAGAAAAGCAAUUGACUCUUGAUUGAUGUCACUUGUAUCUUCUUUGGCAUAAUAAUACUGGAUAUUCAGUUGUGAGAUCAUUGUCAGAGGCUCCAAAAUAUGCUUCUGCAAUUACAAUUAUAAUCAAGACAAAAGAUGCAAUUUUUCGUAAAGGGAAUGAGAACAUUUCAAUUCAAGCCAAGAUAAGGCAUCCGAAGCCCAUAAAAAAAUGUGUUGAAUUGUUUGGCUUAGCUGAGUUAUGAUGCUACCCUGCUUGUCCUCUGUGAUGCUACAUGUUUGCAAUGAUGUUGGGUAUGCUUUCUAGUGUAUGUGCUACUGCACACGAGGAGGUACACACCCGCUUGUGAACCGUGUUCGAGAAGCUGCAAUUGUUGAGGUUGGGGGAGCUGCUCCUUUCAACCUCCUUUUCUUUCCUAGUUGAAGUUUUGUCUUAGUCUUUUGUUAUGAUACAAUUUGGUUUGGACUUGCUUGAUGUAUAGGAUAUGCAUUCCUUGAUGCAUACCUUUAGCCUUGAUAAUAAUAAAAAGAUAAAUUAUAAUAAAUAUAAUGAUAAAUUAUAUUUUUCAUUUA